rnacentral:tRNA from 1 species
GGCUUUAUAGUCAAUAAUGACAUCAGACUGCAAUUCUGAAGGAGUAGAAUUACUAAGGCUU